rnacentral:rRNA from 1 species
UACGUAGGGCGCAAGCGUUGUCCGGAAUUAUUGGGCGUAAAGAGCUCGUAGGCGGUCUGUCACGUCGGCUGUGAAAACCCGAGGCUCAACCUCGGGCCUGCAGUCGAUACGGGCAAACUAGAGUACUGCAGGGGAGACUGGAAUUCCUGGUGUAGCGGUGAAAUGCGCAGAUAUCAGGAAGAACACCCGUGGCGAAGGCGGCUCUCUGGGACGGUACUGGACGCUGAGACGCGAAAGCGUGGGGAGCGAACAGG